UGUGGAUCUCCUGAACUGGCUUCGUGAGUUAUUGUGCUUGACAGUGUUGCCGGGAAGGAGUGCUAGACCAAUGUUUCCAUCUAAACCAAUUUACAUCUUUGAGAGAAAGCAAGGCCAGGGAGUUCCUGGAGAAACUGGCAAUUUCAAGGGGCCAACAGUGCACUGAGAUUUGAGCUGGUGACCAUUUGACUGCAGGCAUGGCAUCCUAACCCGUUCAGCCGAACACCACCUCCUGUAAUUAGUGAUGCAGCAAUCUUCCUCUCAUUACAAAGCUGCUUGGGUUUAAAUGCAUCUUUAAUUGGAUGGAUGCAGCAAUGCAUGUCGGCUGAAGCGUGCCAGGCUAACGCGAGGCUUCGACACUAACCAUCUUGGGUCCGACGCAGAGCUGUGCAGUUCUCUGCCUGAGCUAACUAGGUGAGCCUUGUUACGCAGGUCCACAGCCACUAUCAGUCAUCCGGUCAGCGAUGUAGUCUUGAUGGUUAAUUAGUGGCCAUAUCAGGAUAUAAUGAACAUCAUGUUUGGAAUUAUGACUCAUUAUCGAACCAUGAGUUACAGUACUGGCACGUGGAGGAACAUAUGGCUUCUGGGACGUUUUCUGAUGGUUGUGUCUGAGUUUCUUGAUGCAUUUCCAGGGAGAGAGUAAUAGCAUCUCAUCAAGCCUGUUCCUGAUUG